GUCUGUAGAUGAAAUGAGGCAAUUCUUGCCUAGUGACUGUUUUGCCCCAACUGGAUUAACUCACAGAUGCUCAGUUUCUUUGAAUCCAAGACAGGGAAAGCUGUCAGGAGCAGAUUAGUCUCAACAACAAGUGAAUAAAUAACAUCAAACAUCAUAUUCUGUGGACUUCUGACAUUUUUGAAAACCAACUAUCUAUGUAAAGCAAUCUAGACUGUUCUGUUACCUACUCUCAGCCAUUUCUGAUUAAAAUAACUGAAAACAACCUAACAAUAAACUUAGAGCCAUGGAUUUCCUAUUUGGCCUUUAACUCACAGGCUUAAACAUCUCAGAUCUGUUUCUAAUAACAGCAAUAGAAAGAAUGGGUCUUGUACUUCAAAAUUUUUAGUAUCAAUGACAACCUAUAAUUACUUCCCCCAGCCCCAAAGUCUAGAUAACUGGGACGAAGACUCUUCAUAACUUCUUCAAGUUGAAUAUGGGUGUUGAGAUAUUUUUGAGGAAACAGGGAAAGGUAGGGAAAAUGGGGGAAUUCGUUAGCCUUAAGAAGGCCACACCAAUGUUUGUCUUUGAUGUCUGCGUCCUGACUGGAUCCAGAUGAAAACCCAAGACAUCAGGACUUCAGGUAGGUCAGUUCAGCAUGUCUGAUGAUAAAAUUCACCAAGGCAGUAUAUCUUGUAAUAUAUAAAUCUCAAAAGAAAACUUUAAUAUUAUCAAGAUAAUCUUUUUGUUUGAUUCUGUGGACUCUAGUUCUUCAGGGGGUUUUCUUCUAUCAAAUCUGAUUCAUAUAACUCUAGAAGUGUAAAUACCUUAAUCACCUUUUCAAAAAACACAAAGACAAACCCUUUCCUUAAAUCACCAUAUCCUUCAACCAGUAAUCAGGAAAACCUAUAGCUUGCUCUCUGCCCCAGAAGAACAAUAAAACCACCACUAUACUCAAAAUCACACACAUUUUAGCCUAUUUAAGCCUUUCUAAUUUGUCAUGUCAGGAUAUUAACCUAAAAUUUCCAUUGAGUUCAUGGUAGAGACUAUGAGUCUCCUGAAGACUUUAUCAAACCAUCUUUAAAACAAUUGAUUCAUACUUCUAUCUAUUCCUGCUUAUAAGAGGCAUCUUUUCAAACCAGCAUAUAAACCGAAAAUUCCUGUGGAGCCCAUGUUAGACAGGAUAUGAGUAUCCUGUAAGACUUAUUGUGCAAUAUAUCUUUAUACCAUCUUUAAAGCAAUUAAUUCAAACUUCCACUAAUAUCUGAUAUACCACCUAUCUGUGGUGCUUCCUACCAGGAAACACAGACAUUUAUUUAAUUAAUAUCUAUUAUAAUAUCUGUUAUGCUCUCUACCUAGAGCCACAGGCUUCUAAUAAUUAAUACUGGUUCAUAGCAGGCAAUUAUCACUGCUCUCUACUUGGAGUCAGUGACUAGUAUUCCCUAUCUAGUUCUGAAUCACAGGUGAAAUUUCCCAUCUUUAAGUACUAUACCUCUUUAUAAGAGGCAGCUUAUCAAACCAGGAUUUAAACUCAAAAUUCCCAUGGAGCCCAUGUUAGACAGAAUAUGAGUAUCCUGUAAGACUUGUUAGAGCAAUAUAUCUUUAUAUGAUCUUUAAAGCCUUGUCUUUAGCCUUGUCUAAUCUUAGAACAUCUGUUUUUGAUGCAGUGACUUUUAUUUGUCCUGAUGAAGAGAACUCUCCCUGUCUGGCAUUGGGGCCUAGGAGAGGCACCCCUUGGGAGAUUUUUGGCAGGGUGUUGGCCCAUUUGUCUGUUGUUGAUCUACAUUCCCUAGUCAAAUGUCAGCCUUUGCCACACAUUUGACAUAUUCCAUAAGGAUUAGGCCUCCUUUUGGUAUUACUUUGUUGGUUUUUUUUUUCCUUUUCUUUUUGUUUUUUUUUUCUGCAGUAUUUUCUGAGACGACCUCACAUACCACAAUUAAAACAUCUGAAAUCUUGGGUGAUUACUAGGUUUCUAGUGGCAGCUUCUCUUAUUUUAGUCAUAUCAGGUGAGUGAGAUCCAACAUCAGCUCUAUAUUUAAUCCAAUCUUUUAUUUAUUUAUUUAUUUAUUUAUUUAUUUAUUUAUUUAUUUAUUCUUUUAUUUUAUUUUAUUUCAUUUUAUUUUUUUCUUUUUGAGACAGGGUUUCUCUGUGUAGCCCUGGCUGUCCUGGAACUCACUCUGUAGACCAGUAUGGCCUCGAACUCAGAAAUCCACCCGCCUCUGCUUCCUAAGUGUUGGGAUUAAAGGCGUGCAUCACCACUGCCCUGCCCACUCUUCUAUUGAUGCUGAGAAUGCCCCUCAUUGGUCUGAUUGCUUCCUUGCAUUUAGUAUUUGCAUUUUCAAAGGCUAAUGACUCAAUUAUUGUCUUUCUUGGUGGUGAAUCAGAUUUACUCCUUUCCACAGCUGAUGUUAACCCAUGUAAAAAGUCAGGGAAGGUUUCUUGUAGACCUUGUAUGACCUGAGUAAAUGGUUCAAGUCUUUUCCCUGAUUCUGAUACUUUAUCUCAGGCCUUUAAGGCUGACAAUCAACACAAUGCCAGAGUUUCUUCAUCAUCUACAGACUGCACCUUUAUCUCAGCAAAGCGACCUUCACCAAGCAUUUGGUCUGUGGAAAUCUCUCUACCCCUGGCUCUAUGUUGUUGUGCUAUCUCCCUCACAUCAUCUCUCCACUAUGCAAACCAUUGUACAUUUGCAGGUUUUAGUAUUGCUAUUGCCAUAUCCUUCCAGUCUUGGGGGAUUAUUCUGUUUUUAAUAGCCCAAGAAGUCAGGAUUUGUUUUACAAAUGGAAAAUGCAUUCAAAAUUAGUGACACUUUCCUUAAAUUUUCUCAAAUCUAACACAUCCACAGGUUACCAUUCAAAUUCUUGAUAACCCUGUUGAUAAUCAUCAUCUGGAGGUCUUUAAUGUAUAUUAACUGGAUAGAUUAAAGUUUGUUUUCUAAUAACCUUUGGUUGGCUUUCUCUAAUUAUAUUUUCUAUCAUUACCUGAGCAUUUUCCUUAAUUGAAAAUUUAAAUUAUGCCAUUAAGGUAUGUAUGUGUCAAUGCUUCAUAUCUCUUCUUUAGUCGCUCUUCCUUUUCCUGUAUUCUUUCUUCAAGGUUCUGCCUCCACAUUUUGAUUAUUUCUUCAUAUUUCAAUUCUGAUAGUCUGCUGUCUAUUUCAUUUUGAUUGAUUAAUUUUAAAAGGUUAUUCUCCAAGUCUAACAUCCAAUCCUCGUUAUUUUCUCUCUGCUGCUCAGUCUGAUCUGUGAGCUGCUGCAUCCUUUGUUCUAGUAUCUGUUCUAGCUCCUGUCUCCAGCCAUCGUUCUCCUCUUUCUGUUGCUUAUCUUGACUUAUUAAAUCCUAAACUUUUAGUUCCUUUUCAUCUUUUUAAUCUCUUAUUUUGGUCCAUAAUUUCCUGUGUCUUCAAUUCUAGUGUUUCCUCUAAGACAUGUUCCCAAGUCUUAAACUUCUCUUUCUGUUGUUCAUGAUGUUCUAUAACUUCCUGUAUUUCUUGUUCUAAACUUGCUCUCUCUAUACCAUGAAUUUGACUACCAUUAUCUUACAGAUAAUCACUGCUACCAUGAGUUCAUGAUUGCAAUAGCCACAUCAUGUCCAGAAGAUAGCAUUUCAUAGCCCUUCUCCUAUUUUCUGGCUUUUACAUUUCAUCUUCACCUAUUAUGUGACAGUUUCUGAUACUUGGGGAUAGAGACAUAAGUUAGAUGUCCCAUUUGAACCUAAGCAUUCAGUUUCUAAUGAGUCAUGCAUUUCUCCAUUGACUUCUGCUAAAUACAAAAGGAACCUUCACUAACCAAACAAACAAGAAAGAACCAAACCAGAUACCUGGAAAGUUCUAUGUUUACAUAUAAAUAAUCUUUUCAUUACCAGGUAGACUUCAUGGUUCAUAAAGUAUUAUUAUACCAUAAAAGCAUGUUUUAUCCAUAUAUAGUAUUUAUUAUAAGCCAAAUUUUCCAUAUUGAAUUGAUUUCUUCAAGUCCUGUGUUCAAAGUGUGUAUUCUAUUAAUCAAUAGUGUAUCAUCAUCAAUUUCUAUUGGGAAUCCAAGAGCAGAAGCAAUAGCUGGUAUUGUAUUGAAGGUCUCCACAUUCAGAUAAUUUUAUCUGGAAAACAGACUGAUUGCAUAAGGUACAUAGAUACCAGGAUAAGAAGCUCUAGGACUCUGGGGCACCUUGCAUCAGAAGAAACUCAAAAAACCUGUUCCUAGCAUCCUUUGAGGAAAAGAAAAGUGGGAAACACAGAGGCGAGAAUACAAUCAAGUUUUGCUGACCACUUGAUAUUAGAAAACCAUUACAGGAGUCUACUCCAUACAAAGCUAUUUCUCUUACUCUCAGAAAUUCCACAGUUACACAUAGUUUUUAUCUAGAGUAGAAUCUCCUCAAGAUUUCCCAUGUCAUUGUUUGCAUGUAUGCUGUAGUCAUACUUCUUCAAGUCUUGUUUAAGCAGCUGCCGUUAGACAUCAUGGAUGAAACUUCUCUGACAUUUCUAGGAGAU
rnacentral:lncRNA from 1 species